rnacentral:lncRNA from 10 species
CCCACCCAGGCUGUGAGCCCCACGGGCUAGACAGUAAUUUCUUCUCGUGUUCAGACAGGACUUUCUUCUGGUUCACCCCUGCAUACCGAGUGCUGAGAACGGGCAGCGCAUAGGAGGAACGCAGUCCCUACCUGUCACAUAGAUGCAGGUUGUCUUGCCAAAUAGAACUCCACCUGGGCACCCUGAGAGGGGUGGCUCAGGCCGGGGCAGGCCUGCUGGGCCAGGACCAGGUGAGAGGGGAGCAGCGGGGGGAGGGCUG